GAUGAACGCUAGCUACAGGCUUAACACAUGCAAGUCGAGGGGUAACGAGAGGAAAGCUUGCUUUCCUUGUCGACGACCGGCGCACGGGUGAGUAACGCGUAUCCAACCUGCCCCCAACUAGGGAAUAACCUUGCGAAAGUAAGACUAAUACCCUAUAAUUUCCUCAGAUGACAUCUGACGAGGAAUAAAGAUUUAUCGGUUGUGGAUGGGGAUGCGUCUGAUUAGCUUGUUGGCGGGGUAACGGCCCACCAAGGCAACGAUCAGUAGGGGUCCUGAGAGGAAGGUCCCCCACAUGGGGACUGAGACACGGUCCAAACUCCUACGGGAGGCAGCAGUGAGGAAUAUUGGUCAAUGGGCGAAAGCCUGAACCAGCCAAGUAGCGUGCAGGAUGACGGCCCUAUGGGUUGUAAACUGCUUUUAUACAGGAAUAAAGUUAGCCACGUGUGGUUAUUUGUAGGUACUGUAUGAAUAAGGACCGGCUAAUUCCGUGCCAGCCGCCGCGGUAA
rnacentral:rRNA from 1 species